AUGAACGCUAGCUACAGGCUUAACACAUGCAAGUCGAGGGGCAGCAUGGUCUUAGCUUGCUAAGGCCGAUGGCGACCGGCGCACGGGUGAGUAACACGUAUCCAACCUGCCGUCUACUCUUGGACAGCCUUCUGAAAGGAAGAUUAAUACAAGAUGGCAUCAUGAGUCCGCAUGUUCACAUGAUUAAAGGUAUUCCGGUAGACGAUGGGGAUGCGUUCCAUUAGAUAGUAGGCGGGGUAACGGCCCACCUAGUCUUCGAUGGAUAGGGGUUCUGAGAGGAAGAUCCCCCACAUUGGAACUGAGACACGGUCCAAACUCCUACGGGAGGCAGCAGUGAGGAAUAUUGGUCAAUGGGCGAGAGCCUGAACCAGCCAAGUAGCGUGAAGGAUGACUGCCCUAUGGGUUGUAAACUUCUUUUAUAAAGGAAUAAAGUCGGGUAUGGAUACCCGUUUGCAUGUACUUUAUGAAUAAGGAUCGGCUAACUCCGUGCCAGCAGCCGCGGUAAUACGGAGGAUCCGAGCGUUAUCCGGAUUUAUUGGGUUUAAAGGGAGCGUAGAUGGAUGUUUAAGUCAGUUGUGAAAGUUUGCGGCUCAACCGUGAAAUUGCAGUUGAUACUGGAUAUCUUGAGUGCAGUUGAGGCAGGCGGAAUUCGUGGUGUAGCGGUGAAAUGCUUAGAUAUCACGAAGAACUCCGAUUGCGAAGGCAGCCUGCUAAGCUGCAACUGACAUUGAGGCUCGAAAGUGUGGGUAUCAAACAGGAUUAGAUACCCUGGUAGUCCACACGGUAAACGAUGAAUACUCGCUGUUUGCGAUAUACGGCAAGCGGCCAAGCGAAAGCGUUAAGUAUUCCACCUGGGGAGUACGCCGGCAACGGUGAAACUCAAAGGAAUUGACGGGGGCCCGCACAAGCGGAGGAACAUGUGGUUUAAUUCGAUGAUACGCGAGGAACCUUACCCGGGCUUAAAUUGCAGAUGAAUUACGGUGAAAGCCGUAAGCCGCAAGGCAUCUGUGAAGGUGCUGCAUGGUUGUCGUCAGCUCGUGCCGUGAGGUGUCGGCUUAAGUGCCAUAACGAGCGCAACCCUUGUUGUCAGUUACUAACAGGUUCUGCUGAGGACUCUGACAAGACUGCCAUCGUAAGAUGUGAGGAAGGUGGGGAUGACGUCAAAUCAGCACGGCCCUUACGUCCGGGGCUACACACGUGUUACAAUGGGGGGUACAGAGGGCCGCUACCACGCGAGUGGAUGCCAAUCCCAAAAACCUCUCUCAGUUCGGACUGGAGUCUGCAACCCGACUCCACGAAGCUGGAUUCGCUAGUAAUCGCGCAUCAGCCACGGCGCGGUGAAUACGUUCCCGGGCCUUGUACACACCGCCCGUCAAGCCAUGGGAGCCGGGGGUACCUGAAGUGCGUAACCGCGAGGAGCGCCCUAGGGUAAAACUGGUGACUGGGGCU
rnacentral:rRNA from 1 species